GACCCGACAACUCCUACUGACCCGACACCUCCUACUGCCCCGAUUAAAAAACGCCCGCGCGAGGAAGUUAAAGGUUAUGCGGACGAUCAAAAUGGGUCAGACGAUGUAGGGAGCGGCCGCUAGCGAUUUUUACCAAAUAAGCUGCAAUAUCCAAGAUCCGUGUCACAUUCUAAAAAAAAUUAGAUUACUAAUUUUAAUAUAUUUAAAAAUGUUCUUCUUUGUUAAUCAUAAUUGUCU